ACUCAGUAGCUGAGUGGAUAACGUGAUAGCGUUUGAAGCUGACGGUAGUGGGUUCGAGUUCCUCCCAGGGUGA
rnacentral:tRNA from 1 species